UACACACGGAUAACAUACCGAAAGGUAUGCUAAUACGGGAUAAUAUAUUUGAGAGGCAUCUCUUAAAUAUCAAAGGUGAGCCAGUACAGGAUGGACCCGCGUCUGAUUAGCUAGUUGGUAAGGUAACGGCUUACCAAGGCGACGAUCAGUAGCCGACCUGAGAGGGUGAUCGGCCACAUUGGAACUGAGACACGGUCCAAACUCCUACGGGAGGCAGCAGUGGGGAAUAUUGCACAAUGGGCGAAAGCCUGAUGCAGCAACGCCGCGUGAGUGAUGAAGGCCUUCGGGUCGUAAAACUCUGUCCUCAAGGAAGAUAAUGACGGUACUUGAGGAGGAAGCCCCGGCUAACUACGUGCCAGCAGCCGCGGUAAUACGUAGGGGGCUAGCGUUAUCCGGAUUUACUGGGCGUAAAGGGUGCGUAGGCGGUCUUUCAAGUCAGGAGUGAAAGGCUACGGCUCAACCGUAGUAAGCUCUUGAAACUGGGAGACUUGAGUGCAGGAGAGGAGAGUGGAAUUCCUAGUGUAGCGGUGAAAUGCGUAGAUAUUAGGAGGAACACCAGUUGCGAAGGCGGCUCUCUGGACUGUAACUGGCGCUGAGGCACGAAAGCGUGGGGAGCAAACAGGAUUAGAUACCCUGGUAGUCCACGCUGUAAACGAUGAGUACUAGGUGUCGGGGGUUACCCCCUUCGGUGCCGCAG
rnacentral:rRNA from 1 species